rnacentral:rRNA from 1 species
CCUACGGGAGGCAGCAGUAGGGAAUUUUCGGCAAUGGGCGAAAGCCUGACCGAGCAACGCCGCGUGAGUGAUGAAGGCCUUCGGGUUGUAAAGCUCUGUUGUCAGGGAAGAAUGAUCAGGAUAGGAAAUGAUCUUGAAGUGACGGUACCUGACCAGAAAGCCACGGCUAACUACGUGCCAGCAGCCGCGGUAAUACGUAGGUGGCAAGCGUUAUCCGGAAUUAUUGGGCGUAAAGGGUGCGUAGGCGGUUUAGUGUGUCUUAUGUGAAAUCUCAGGGCUUAACUCUGGGCUGCAUAAGAAACUAUUAGACUAGAGUGCAGGAGAGGGCAACGGAAUUCCAUGUGUAGCGGUAAAAUGCGUAGAUAUAUGGAGGAACACCGGUGGCGAAGGCGGUUGCCUGGCCUGUUACUGACGCUGAAGCACGAAAGCGUGGGGAGCAAAUAGGAUUAGAUACCCUAGUAGUCCACGCUGUAAACGAUGAAUACUAAGUGUUGGGAUAAAACUCAGUGCUGCAGUUAACGCAAUAAGUAUUCCGCCUGGGGAGUACGCACGCAAGUGUGAAACUCAAAGGAAUUGACGG